UUUUGUUUUUGUUUUUGGUAAAGGGAAGAGGGGAGGAGAGGGAAAAGUAAGCUUGUUUUUUGUUUGCUCGUUUGUUUUUCAAAUUUAUCUUAAAAGGUGAGGUUCUGUGUUCACUGAUACAUCCCCUUCCUUCACCGGGCUCAUGAAAAGAAAUGCUGAAUCAGCAAAUAGAGUGAACGAACAAUCAAGAUGAGAUGGCUGCUGCUGAUGUGAUUCUCUAGGUUACUACCUUUCUUCCUGCUGCAAAUGCUGCAUGACACUAAGCUUACAGGAUCUAGAAGCAGACUACAAAAAAAGAAGAAAUUCACUCUGAAGACUGAAGAAACACUAGGCUGAUCUUAAGUUUCCGAAAUACACUCUGUAACACUACACUGAUUCUAUGAAUCUCUUGCAAAAAGAAUCAAACCAGGACAAAGUUCAACAGAUAACUGGUCAAAUGCUUAGGAAUGUCUAUGUCCACCAAGAAUAUGGAACCAUUAAUGCCAUGCUUCAGGUAAACUUGUUACAAAAUUUAGUCUUCGAUAAAUUAGUCUCUG
rnacentral:lncRNA from 1 species